CUGAGUCUUAAAAAACUCCCAACCCAUGUGAAUUUACCUUUGUUGCCUCGGCGGGACCUACCCGGUACCUACCCUGUAGCUACCCUGUAGCCCGCCGGUGGACUAUUUAACUCUUGUUAUUUUAUAGAAAUCUGAGCGUCUUAUUAAAUAAGUCA
rnacentral:misc_RNA from 1 species